GACCCCGCACAAGCAGUGGAGCGUGUGGUUUAAUUCGACGCAACGCGCAGAACCUUACCAGGGUUUGACAUCAUGGUGCCCGCUGUGGAAACACAGUCUUCCGUAGCGAUACGGACGCCAUGACAGGUGUUGCAUGGUUGUCGUCAGCUCGUGUCGUGAGAUGUUGGGUUAAGUCCCGCAACGAGCGCAACCCUUAUCCAGUGUUGCCAGCGGUACGGCCGGGGACUCACUGGAGACUGCCGGAGACGAUCCGGAGGAAGGUGGGGAUGACGUCAAAUCAUCAUGGCCCUUAUGCCCUGGGCUACACACGCGCUACAAUGGCCGGUACAACGGGCUGCGAAGGAGCGAUCCGGAGCGAAUCCCUUAAAGCCGGCCCCAGUUGGGAUCGCAGGCUGCAACUCGCCUGCGUGAACACGGAAUUGCUAGUAAUCGCGAAUCAGCUACGUCGCGGUGAAUACGUUCCCGGGGUUU
rnacentral:rRNA from 1 species